UGGACUAAGGAGCAGCCGUGCUCACCAUGGCCUGGGCCCCUCUCCUCCUUGUGCUCCUCUCUCACUGCACAGGUUCCCUCUCGCAGCCUGUGCUGACUCAGCCGCCCUCUGUCUCUGCAUCACCUGGAUCAACAGCCAAACUCACCUGCACCCUGAGCAGGGACCUCAGUGUUGGUGGUAAAAACAUAUACUGGUACCAGCAGAAGCCAGGGAGCCCUCCCCGGUAUUUUUUGUACUACUACUCAGACUCAGACAAGCAACUGGGACCUGGGGUCCCCAGUCGAGUCUCUGGAUCCAAAGACGCCUCAACCAAUGCAGCGCAUUUGCUCAUCUCUGGGCUGCAGUCGGAGGACGAGGCUGAUUAUUACUGUCAGGUGUAUGAAAGUAGUGCUCAGCACAGUGACAGAGACAGAUGAG